GCUUGAGAGAUCCCUGGAGGAAGCACGGGCUAAGUUCGUGCCAGCAGCCGCGGUAAGACGAACCGUGCGAACGUUGUUCGGAAUCACUGGGCAUAAAGGGCGCGUAGGCGGCUUAUAAAGUCAGUGGUGAAAUCCGGCAGCUUAACUGUCGAAGUGCCUCUGAUACUGAUGAGCUCGAGGGAGGUAGGGGUGUGCGGAACUUCCGGUGGAGCGGUGAAAUGCGUUGAUAUCGGAAGGAACGCCGGUGGCGAAAGCGGCGCACUGGACCUCUUCUGACGCUGAGGCGCGAAAGCUAGGGGAGCAAACGGGAUUAGAUACCCCGGUAGUCCUAGCCGUAAACGAU
rnacentral:rRNA from 1 species